AUUGAACGCUGGCGGCAGGCCUAACACAUGCAAGUCGAACGAGUGGCGGACGGGUGAGUAAUGUCUGGGAAACUGCCUGAUGGAGGGGGAUAACUACUGGAAACGGUAGCUAAUACCGCAUACCAUACGAUGUGCCCAGAUGGUAUUAGCUAGUAUGUGGGGUAAAGGCUCACCUAUGCGACGAUCCCUAGCUGGUCUGAGAGGAUGACCAGCCACACUGGAACUGAGACCCGGUCCAGACUCCUACGGGAGGCAGCAGUGGGGAAUAUUGCACAAUGGGCUCAAGCCUGAUGCAGCCAUGCCGAGUGUAUGAAGAAGGCCUUCGGGUUGUAAAGUACUUUCAGCGGGGAGGCGUUACCCGCAGAAGAAGCACCGGCUAACUCCGUGCCAGCAGCCGCGGUAAUUC
rnacentral:rRNA from 1 species